CCUACGGGUGGCAGCAGUGAGGAAUAUUGGUCAAUGGGCGCGAGCCUGAACCAGCCAAGUAGCGUGAAGGAUGACUGCCCUACGGGUUGUAAACUUCUUUUAUAAAGGAAUAAAGUGAGGCACGUGUGCCUUUUUGUAUGUACUUUAUGAAUAAGGAUCGGCUAACUCCCUGCCAGCAGCCCCGGGAAUACGGAGGAUUGGAGCCGUUUCCGGGUUUUUUGGGUUUAAAGGGAGCGUAGAUGGGUAGUUAAGUCAGUUGUGAAAGUUUGCGGGUCAACCGUAGAAUUGCAAUUGAUACUGGCGGUCUUGAGUGCAGUUGAGGUAGGCGGAAUUCGUGGUGUAGCGGUGAAAUGCUUAGAUAUCACGAAGAACUCCGAUUGCGAAGGCAGCUUACUAGACUGCCACUGACGUUGAUGCUCGAAAGUGUGGGUAUCGAACAGGAUUAGAUACCCGGGUAGUC
rnacentral:rRNA from 1 species